GAUGAACGCUGGCGGCGUGCUUAAUACAUGCAAGUCGAACGGAAAGGCCCUGCUCUUGCGGGGUGCUCGAGUGGCGCGCGGGUGAGUAUCACGCGUGUAUCAUGUACCUGUCUUAGGGAUAACUCUAGGGAACUGGGGCUAUUAUCGGAUAGGAGCUCUUGCAGCACGGUGGGGGUUGGAAAGUUUCGGUGGUUGGGGAUGGAAUCGCGGCUUAUCCGCUUGUUGGUGGAGUAGUGGCUUACAAAGGGUUCGAAGGGUAGCCGGCCUUGGAGGGUGACCGGCCACAUGGGGACUAAGGUACGGACCAGACUCCUACGGUAGGCAGCAGUGGAAAAUAUGACACAGUAGGCGGAAGCCUGAUACGGCAACGCCGCGUGCGGAAUGACGGCCUUCGAGUUAUAAACCGAUUUCGCCGGUGACGAGGCGUGAGUGACGGUAAUGAAUAAGAAAGCACCGGCUAACUACGUG
rnacentral:rRNA from 1 species